CCAUAGGUGAGCGUAUUUACACCAUGGGAAUUGACAAACCAUUCAUCUGAGUAUCUCUCCUAUCCCCCCCACCAGUCCCCAGGAAUGCAGUUUUUAAACAUUCAGCUGCACACCCAAUCAACCGUAACCCCUAAGCCUUGUUAAUUCAAUUCUUACUGGAUAAGGCAGUUGAGGGUGUGAGGAUCUCAUGGCUGAAACACCAAGAGUCACCCUGAAGCUCUGGAACCCGAGACACAGGCAUUAUCUCUAACUCUCCAGGCUUGAGUAAUUCUGGAACUGCUUCAACCUCCUGAAAUUCUUAGGUUCUGCCAAAAAGUCUCGACCACUAUGGAGUUUCUGAUUCAACUUUCCUCCCUGCAACAGUCUAAGUCACCUUGUGGUAGCAUUGCUCCCUAGCCUGAUUUUCUACUGUCAAGUGUUCAUGAGAUGCCACCUUGGAAGAAGGAACAGGAAGAGAAAUGCCAUCCUUUCCUCUGCUCAUUUGGUUUCCAGAAGAUGUGUGCAGAGAUUCCAAAUCCCACCCAUCCUGAGCCUGGGUCCUCCUAACACAGCAGCCACACAAGUGAAGCAUUGCCGGUGGGUCCACCUCCAUCUGCACGAAGGAAGGUUUGGAUGGAGACUUAAAACUCUGAAUCACCAUCAACUGCAUUCCUGACGGCAUCUGGGCUUAGUCCCUCUGGACUAGCUGGAAAAUUUCAGAAUCUAAUGUAUGUGUAGACCAGAUGGGAUUCAGCUUGAACACUCGUGAAAAUGAUCCAUCUCUGCAUAUUUUAAGUGCUCAGCCCUGAGCAUUGUGUCAGGCUAGAGAGGAGAGGCCUACAGCAAGGCAAAAUUGAAGGAGACGUCAUUUUCAGGGACUGUCCCUGCACUUGAAUGACCCCAAGACUGACCCUUCCUUAAGCUUUGUGAUCUGAGUACUCACUGUGCCACCUUACUCUCUACCUGCUGCUAAAGUCACAGCAAGACUCUGGCUUGAUCAACAGCACCCUCCUCAAUGCCCCUCCACAUAGCUCUGAAUAACUAGUUAAAGCUGUGUUACCAACAUUGGCAGGUUAAAAAAAAGGGGGUAAAAAAGGGAGGGACUUCCUAUCACAUCCGGUGGCCAGUUUGAAAAUGCCAGCCUGGACUUAUUGGCAAACAAGAAGGACAAAUCUUGGAAACCACAGGUGCAGGCCAGAGGUGCCUGGGGAGUGAGAGGAGUCACCAGAGACAGAGUGGGAAGCACAACAGGUGGAUCUACUGAAAGACACUGCUGAGGGGAGCAGUGGGUGAGUCAGGAGAGGUCUGUUGCGCCAUGUGGGUCAGCUCCCUGGCCGGGGAUCGAACUUGUGCUGCAGUGGCUGCACAUCACUUCAUAGUGCUGACACUUCACCCCUUGUGCCACCAGGGAGGCCCUGGCACUUGUGUUUUUAAGCCUGCAGAGAAUUAGUAUUCAGCAGCUGCUCUUAUUCGCAUUGCUGAAUACAUAUCACACAAUAUUAUCAAGACAUUCCUCUCCAUGGAGAGUGGUAUUGACCCCCCAGGUGACUCACAAGUUCCAACGCCAGCUGCCAGAGAAAGGGGUAUCAAGAUACGGCUGUUGAAACUGUAGUGCAUGGUAACAGAGGAAGACAGACCGGAUAUGUUUUCAGACGGGAUCGAGAAAAAGCUUUGACAGAAGGAGACGUGAUUUUCCUUUAUUGGAAGGGGUGCAGGGCUACAGAUCUCAGUGUAAUUUGUUCAGCGUAUGGAGCAACGCACCAAGUAUUCCAACCCCGAACAGCUGGGAAAGCAGAGAGACGUGAAAAAUCGAGGAGGAACCAGGUGAAUUCACGCUUGAAUAAUAGAUUCUCUUGGUAACAAAACCGCAGAGAGAGCUGGGCGGGCCCAGUCUAGAGAUAACAAGGCCCUCUUCUGUGAAUCUCCACCAACUUCCACUUCUUGUUCGUGACCUUGACCUUGACUCCCCUGAGAGCACUCGAACAACUUCCCGUUGUCUGAGCUGGUGGCCUCCAGCGUGGGAUGCGUGUGCACUGAUCUAGGGAGGUGCAAAAAAAAUAUUAGAAUUGUCUUUGCUCCUUUGGCCUCGGCCUCCAUUUCCAUUCAUGGAUAGGAGUUAUAAUGUAUGCCAUCUAUUAAUGCAGCGGUGAGAAGUAUUCAUUUCAACAAGGAAUGCUCAAAAAAAUGUACUAAUGGCUUACAUGAUCAAAACCAUUUGGAAGGGACUGUCUAAGUAAGAAGAUGAAGCCCCUUAGCCUGAUAUUCAAAGUCUUUGCAAGUCACCUAUUUGACCUCCGCUCCCACUAUUUCACGCCUCACACCACUCACUGUGAUAAAAUGGAUCUGCUCAACCAG